GAUGAACGCUGGCGGCGUGCCUAAUACAUGCAAGUCGAGCGAACAGACGAGGAGCUUGCUCCUCUGACGUUAGCGGCGGACGGGUGAGUAACACGUGGAUAACCUACCUAUAAGACUGGGAUAACUUCGGGAAACCGGAGCUAAUACCGGAUAAUAUAUUGAACCGCAUGGUUCAAUAGUGAAAGACGGUUUUGCUGUCACUUAUAGAUGGAUCCGCGCCGCAUUAGCUAGUUGGUAAGGUAACGGCUUACCAAGGCGACGAUGCGUAGCCGACCUGAGAGGGUGAUAGGCCACACGGGAACUGAGACACGGUCAAGACGACUAAGGGAGGCAGCAGUAGGGAAUCUUCCGCAAUGGGCGAAAGCAUGACGGAGCAAGGCCGCGUGAGUGAUGAAGGUCUUCGGAUCGUAAAAAUCUGUUAUUAGGGAAGAACAAAUGUGGAAGUAACUAUGCACGUCUUGACGGUAACUAAUCAGAAAGCCACGGCUAACUACGUG
rnacentral:rRNA from 1 species